AGAGUUUGAUCAUGGCUCAGAUUGAACGCUAGCGGAAUGCCUUACACAUGCAAGUCGAACGGCAGCGCGGACUUCGGUCUGGCGGCGAGUGGCGAACGGGUGAGUAAUGUAUCGGAACGUGCCCAGUAGCGGGGGACAACCACUCGAAAGAGUGGCUAAUACCGCAUACGCCCUACGGGGAAAGGGGGGGAUCGCAAGACCUCUCACUAUUGGAGCGGCCGAUAUCGGAUCAGCUAGUUGGUGGGGUAAAGGCCUACCAAGGCGACGAUCCGUAGCUGGUUUGAGAGGACGACCAGCCACACUGGGACUGAGACACGGCCCAGACUCCUACGGGAGGCAGCAGUGGGGAAUUUUGGACAAUGGGGGAAACCCUGAUCCAGCCAUUCUGCGUGUGCGAUGAAGGCCUUCGGGUUGUAAAGCACUUUUGGCAGGAAAGAAAUCGUGUGGGUUAAUACCCUGCGCGGAUGACGGUACCUGCAGAAUAAGCACCGGCUAACUACGUG
rnacentral:rRNA from 1 species